GUGAACGCUGGCGGUAGGCCUAACACAUGCAAGUCGAACGGCAGCACAGUAAGAGCUUGCUCUUACGGGUGGCGAGUGGCGGACGGGUGAGGAAUACAUCGGAAUCUACUUUUUCGUGGGGGAUAACGUAGGGAAACUUACGCUAAUACCGCAUACGACCUACGGGUGAAAGCAGGGGAUCUUCGGACCUUGCGCGAUUGAAUGAGCCGAUGUCGGAUUAGCUGGUUGGCGGGGUAAAGGCCCACCAAGGCGACGAUCCGUAGCUGGUCUGAGAGGAUGAUCAGCCACACUGGAACUGAGACACGGUCCAGACUCCUACGGGAGGCAGCAGUGGGGAAUAUUGGACAAUGGGCGCAAGCCUGAUCCAGCCAUACCGCGUGGGUGAAGAAGGCCUUCGGGUUGUAAAGCCCUUUUGUUGGGAAAGAAAAGCAGCAGGUUAAUACCCCGCUGUUCUGACGGUACCCAAAGAAUAAGCACCGGCUAACUUCGUG
rnacentral:rRNA from 1 species